GGCCGCCUGGCGAAAUGGCAUCGCGUCUGACUACGAUGGCUGAAACCGAUGAUGUUACGUAAUCAGGAGAUUGCAGGUUCGACCCCUGCGGUGGUCA